AUAUAAAACGUGUACAGAUAAAAACUGUUUGGGAGCUGCAACAGAAAGAUGGUGACAUCCGUAUCCAUUGCAUGAAAACAAAACAAGCGUCGGCCUAGCUUAUCUGACGCUUGUUCCCAAACGCUGUACACGUAGCAGGAAAAUAUGGCAAGAGACAAAAACACCCUGCCAGGCUUAAGCAUCUCAAGACAGUAUUGCACCAGUACGAUUUAAGGAAUCGACGAGGUUUGCCAUGUCUACUACUAUGCUUGAACUACCUGAGAUUUAUAUUUUACUCAAAUAUAUGGUGUAUACCUGCACGAAAACACAAAGAACCUUGUUGGAAAAAAAGAGGAUGGACCACUACAAUGUUCCUUGCAUUCUCAAAUCAGUCAACAAGUUCGGCUGCAACAACGACAUUAGCCAUGCAUAGUCAUCAUCGGUGAACAACUGCUAAGACAUGACUGGAACUUAAGGACAAUUGAUCAGUGAUCCAGUAGCGCUAGCAAUCUAAGAGGAUCGAAUUAGGCAUGGAUCACAUGCCUCAAGAUAGCCACAUCAAACAUGCAAUGCAAAGACAUAUGAGAAGCAGCAAUUCCUAAGGAAUGAUUCCAAUCACAUAAAGCAGGAAUUAACCAAAUUCUGGAAGAAGUAAAGAUGAAAAGAAGGAAUCUAGGAGAUGAAAGAGAGAUUAUUACAGGUCGCGCCCUUGCAAUCACACCUAAUUUAGGCUGACCCGGCCCCUCCUUGUCCAGUCCAAAUCCAUCCAUGAUCAGAUUUAAUUCAGAGAAACCCUUUCCCAGAGAAUUGAAAUAACAGAAACGCACAAAACUUGCUGUUGCUUUCUUCCCUUGCCGAUGGCAGCCGCCGC
rnacentral:lncRNA from 1 species